AAAUAGUGAAAAUAGCCAAGAAUGGAGGGAAGAAAACAUUUUCAUGAGAAAAAACAUACAAAAAGAGCUGAAAAUCGUACAAAAAAUAAUCCAAAUGGAUGGAGAAAUAAUUAAAAGAAAAAUAUGAGAUAAAAUGGGUGGAAAACAUCUUUAAAAUUUAAAAAGUCAAGCAAAUGAAUAGAAAAAUGGACAAAAAAGCAUUUAUGAAUUCAAUUCAAAAUAUAUAUAAAUCAAAAAUAAAUUGUCCAUAAUAUUUUCUAGAUAAAUAUUAAGACAGUUAUUUUUUAAACUUUAAUUUCAAAGGCAUAAAUAAAAAGCCUUCCAG
rnacentral:lncRNA from 1 species